rnacentral:rRNA from 1 species
AUUGAACGCUGGCGGCAGGCCUAACACAUGCAAGUCGAGCGGUAGAGAGAAGCUUGCUUCUCUUGAGAGCGGCGGACGGGUGAGUAAUGCCUAGGAAUCUGCCUGGUAGUGGGGGAUAACGUUCGGAAACGGACGCUAAUACCGCAUACGUCCUACGGGAGAAAGCAGGGGACCUUCGGGCCUUGCGCUAUCAGAUGAGCCUAGGUCGGAUUAGCUAGUUGGUGAGGUAAUGGCUCACCAAGGCGACGAUCCGUAACUGGUCUGAGAGGAUGAUCAGUCACACUGGAACUGAGACACGGUCCAGACUCCUACGGGAGGCAGCAGUGGGGAAUAUUGGACAAUGGGCGAAAGCCUGAUCCAGCCAUGCCGCGUGUGUGAAGAAGGUCUUCGGAUUGUAAAGCACUUUAAGUUGGGAGGAAGGGUUGUACAUUAAUACUCUGCAAUUUUGACUUGACCGACACAAUAAUCACCGGCGAAUUGUGUGCCACCCGCACCGGUAAUACAUAGGCGGCAAGGGUAAAUCUUACUUACUCGACGUGAAGAUCGCGUCUGUGGUCUGUUAAUUGGGAUGUGAACGAAGAUCGCUCACUUUGCUCACUGCAUGUCAUGCGGACUUACUUGACGUUUGUAGAAAGUUGUCCCCCUCCACCGGGCAGUUUCCCAAGACAUUACUCACCCGUACGCCGCUCUCCGGCAAAGUAGACGCUCCUUCCCCCUGCCGCUCUGCUGGCAGGAGUUAGGGCUGCCGCUCGCGCUCAACCUGCAUAGGGAUCAAAAUCUAAAGGCGAAUACCCCAGUGGAGCUCAGCAUACCGAAACCGUUCGAGGAAAAAGGGGGGGACCAGAACGAGAUUUCUUUCGCGUGAGGGAA